AACUUUAUAGGUUAAAUUAAACCAAUACAUUUUCGUUGUUUAGAUAAGUAAUUUUUAAAGUUU
rnacentral:tRNA from 1 species